rnacentral:rRNA from 1 species
UUCUAACGUGGACCCGUAAUCCGGGUUGCGGACAGUGUCUGGUGGGUAGUUUGACUGGGGCGGUCUCCUCCUAAAGAGUAACGGAGGAGCACGAAGGUUGGCUAAUCCUGGUCGGACAUCAGGAGGUUAGUGCAAUGGCAUAAGCCAGCUUGACUGCGAGCGUGACGGCGCGAGCAGGUGCGAAAGCAGGUCAUAGUGAUCCGGUGGUUCUGAAUGGAAGGGCCAUCGCUCAACGGAUAAAAGGUACUCCGGGGAUAACAGGCUGAUACCGCCCAAGAGUUCAUAUCGACGGCGGUGUUUGGCACCUCGAUGUCGGCUCAUCACAUCCUGGGGCUGAAGUAGGUCCCAAGGGUAUGGCUGUUCGCCAUUUAAAGUGGUACGCGAGCUGGGUUUAGAACGUCGUGAGACAGUUCGGUCCCUAUCUGCCGUGGGCGCUGGAGAACUGAGGGGGGCUGCUCCUAGUACGAGAGGACCGGAGUGGACGCAUCACUGGUGUUCGGGUUGUCAUGCCAAUGGCACUGCCCGGUAGCUAAAUGCGGAAGAGAUAAGUGCUGAAAGCAUCUAAGCACGAAACUUGCCCCGAGAUGAGUUCUCCCUGAGACUUAGAGUCUCCUGAAGGAACGUUGAAGACGACGACGUUGAUAGGCCGGGUGUGUAAGCGCAGCGAUGCGUUGAGCUAACCGGUACUAAUGAACCGUGAGGCUUAACCUUACA